rnacentral:ribozyme from 1 species
AAAGCAUUUACAAGAAGAAGGAAAGAGGAAAGAAGGCACAAAAAAGAAAAGAAAUAAAAGUAGGGGGCAAAAAGUCAGACCUCCCU